CGGUAGCUAAAUGCGGAAGAGAUAAGUGCUGAAAGCAUCUAAGCACGAAACUUGCCCCGAGAUGAGUUCUCCCUGACUCCUUGAGAGUCCUGAAGGAACGUUGAAGACGACGACGUUGAUAGGCCGGGUGUGUAAGCGCAGCGAUGCGUUGAGCUAACCGGUACUAAUGAACCGUGAGGCUUAACCUU
rnacentral:rRNA from 4 species